rnacentral:misc_RNA from 1 species
AACUGAUACUACCUGCGGGAACCUGCGGAAGGAUCAUUAAUGUUACCUCAUCCAACUUGCUUCUGGCAUUCAAUUUCCUUGAUUGCCAGCAAAGCAAAGCACCCGUGACAAGGUUAAAGUCCUUAACAGCAUCCAGCGCUGCUGGACCUGCUGUUAAAGCACCAAUUUUUUACAAACGUCUAAAUCAUUGAGCUUUGAAUUUGUUCAGAGCGAUUUAUUCCGUAAUUAAUUAAGACACAA